GACGAACGCUGGCGGCGUGCUUAACACAUGCAAGUCGAACGGAAAGGCCCUGCUUUUGUGGGGUGCUCGAGUGGCGAACGGGUGAGUAACACGUGAGUAACCUGCCCUUGACUUUGGGAUAACUUCAGGAAACUGGGGCUAAUACCGGAUAGGAGCUCCUGCUGCAUGGGGGGGGUUGGAAAGUUUCGGCGGUUGGGGAUGGACUCGCGGCUUAUCAGCUUGUUGGUGGGGUAGUGGCUUACCAAGGCUUUGACGGGUAGCCGGCCUGAGAGGGUGACCGGCCACAUUGGGACUGAGGUACGGCCCAGACUCCUACGGGAGGCAGAAGUGGGGAAUAUUGCACAAUGGGCGGAAGCCUGAUGCAGCAACGCCGCGUGCGGGAUGACGGCCUUCGGGUUGUAAACCGCUUUCGCCUGUGACGAAGCGUGAGUGACGGUAAUGGGUAAAGAAGCACCGGCUAACUACGUG
rnacentral:rRNA from 1 species